GACGUAGGGCGCAAGCGUUGUCCGGAUUUAUUGGGCGUAAAGAGCUCGUAGGCGGCUCGUUGCGUCGGCUGUGAAAACCCGCAGCUCAACUGUGGGCUUGCAGCCGAUACGGGCGGGCUGGAGUUCGGUAGGGGAGACUGGAAUUCCUGGUGUAGCGGUGAAAUGCGCAGAUAUCUGGAGGAACACCGGUGGCGAAGGCGGCAUCCUGGACCGGCAUUGACGCUGAGGCGCGAAAGCUAGGGGAGCAAACAGG
rnacentral:rRNA from 1 species